UCUACCUCUGAGUUAGUCGCCAUGCCACUCCCCGCCCCACCGGUCACGCCCCACCCUGCCGGUCGCGCCCGGCCCACCACACCACUCUCCAUCUCCUUCACCGUCAUCUCCAUGCUAACGGGGGUCACGACGCUCUACAACACCGGCCUGGCCUUCGGUGGGCCCGCCAUCAUGACGCUCGACUGGUUCAUCGCGGGCGCCUUCACCAUGGCCAUCGGCCUCUCCAAGGCCGAGAUCUGCUCCGCCUUCCCGACCUCCGGUAGGCUCUACUACUGGAGCGCGCGCCUCUCCGGCAGACGCUGGGCGCCCGUCGCCUCCUAGAUCACCGGAUGGUUCAACUACUACUAUGUUGGGCAGUGAAGGGCGACGUCCAGACAGUAAGAACGAGGUGACACAAUAUGGACUCGAUAUGACUGAGCAACAAUAUCUUGAGCCACCAAUGAUGCUGCUUGGCGUGCGUUAUGUCGUUAUUGGGCUUCAACUGAAUUCAAGGCAAAGUCUGUGCGACAUAGUUCCAAUCAUGGAACCGAGUCGUAUCACAGGUAUGGAGGCGAUGAUAACUUUCGUUUGGCAAAACGAAUGGUAAGUACAAUUUAAUCUAUUUUCGUUGAUUGUAGUUGACUUGCUGUAAUUUCUGGUUAUAAUGUUUGUCAAAUGUACAUAUUGGAAGCUAGCACUGGUGUAGUGCAGUAUUAAAUAUACCUUAGGGGGCACAGAGGACGAGAUCCUGCAAAUCUAGAUGUGUUGUGCAGCCAAAAGGCAACAGAUCGUCUAGCUGCAUAUGGCGAGGCGAUGUCUAGUCAGCAUGGACCAAACUAUGAUUGGAGGACCUCACCUAUUGAUCCUCAGGCUAUGUAUGCAAGUGGUAGAAAAGCUCAUGGAAGGUACACAAUGUUUGCUAACGUCAUCGACUCGAGCCAGGUCAGGGUUCAGCAUGGAGGCUCGUCGAGGUCUACUGCUCGUAGCUCCCAUGGCUCCAGUCAAGAUCCAGCAGAAGUGGGGCAACUGCGAGCAGAACUUAGGUGACAUCAGGAUUACUUGAGGCAACAAGCUGAGCAACAUGAAUACUAUGCUACACAAAUUCAACAACAACAAACACACAUUCAAGUUCAAAAGAUAAUAGCUUUCACUUUAAGAUAUGUAUUGAUUUAAAACACUGAUGUGAAUGAGUUCGACAAUUUUGUAGCAACUAGCACAAGCCCAAGGUAUACACGUCCCAGUGCCCCCCACCACCUUUUGUACAUUAUCCUUGGUCUUCACCUCCACCUUCACGUCCACCUCCACCUACUGAACAUCAGACCUUUCCAGCUACCUUGCCGACGCAGGAACGAUACGACGGAUUAGACUUUGUCGAAGCCUUCUUCGCUAGUGGAGGUAUCGACUAUCACUCGUUGCUGCACCCCGAUGGUGAUCGGCGAUCGUGAUCUUACAUUUUAUGUGUUAUGAUACUUGAGACUUUUCUUAUGACUAUGUAUGAGAUGUUGUGAUAUUGUCUCUUAUUAUGACUGGAUGAGAUGCGUCUUAUGACUAUGGAUGAGACUUUUGUGAUGUAAUUGAUGAUAUUAUGGAUUGAAUUGUUGUUAUGUGAA